rnacentral:sRNA from 1 species
UCCACGCCUGGCAACAGCCAAUCAGUCCUUAAGAAAAUCAAUAUAAAGCAGAUUGAUUAAGCCAGCGACCAUUGUUCAUACCAAGCUGAAAUCAUUACUAGCCAAUAGGAGUAGGCCAAGCAAAUGUCAACCAAUGGUCACUGCCAAGUUGGAAAGUCCCUCACCCUGCUACCACGAUAAAGGCUAAAUGCUGUCCUGAGAGGGUUUAUUAUGAGAAAAACUGGCAAUCAAACUUUUAAUAAUGAACCUUAGAAGAAAGAAAUAAUGAGAAGAAUAUUUCAAGAGACCCACUCUAUCUUUACUGCUCACAGCACCGUCAAAGGCUCCAUGAUUCCACAGCAAGUGCUCUGGGAAGAGCACCGUCUACUUUAAAGUCAAAGAAAUGUCUUCAUUUGUGGAAAAUUGGUGGAAUCUGGCUACGUAGAGUGAAUCAUUUAGACUGAAUAAUUAUUGCCAUUAUUAUUAACUGUUUCAUUGCCUGUAAGGAUCUGCCGUCUUCUCCCAGUUCCUCUCUGAUGGCUUGCAAUGGCAGAGGCUCAAGGUUUUAAAAGUAAUAGCACAGUUACCAUUCCCUAGAAUAACCUCCAAACUGACAAAUAUUGUUAGUUUUUAAACAGAAAAAAUAUAAGAGGAAAUGACAAAGGAAAGUGGAUCGAUCGAGGUGUUGCGUCAGGAGAACUGCAGGUGGGAGAAUCAGAGGA